ensembl:snoRNA U3 Small nucleolar RNA U3
AUGACUCUACUUUCCAGGAUCAUUUCUAUAGUUCUUUAUUACAGAAGUUUCUCAGACUGUGUAGAGCACUGGAAAGCACAAGGAGGUACAGUGUUCUCUCCUGAGCAUGAAGCUGAUGCUGGGUGUUGAUUUGCGCAACUGACCAUCACCAUUGAUAAUCAUUCUUAUUUCACCUUGGGAGAGUUACAGGGAGAGAACGCAGUCUGAGUG